AGAGUUUGAUCAUGGCUCAGGACGAACGCUGGCGGCGUGCCUAAUACAUGCAAGUCGAGCGGACCGAAAGGAGAGCUCGCUCUCCUUUCAGUCAGCGGCGGACGGGUGAGUAACACGUGGGUAACCUGCCUGUAAGACCGGGAUAACUCGCGGAAACGCGAGCUAAUACCGGAUAGGUCCCGUGGCCGCAUGGCGACGGGAGGAAAGAUGGCGCGAGCUAUCGCUUACAGAUGGGCCCGCGGCGCAUUAGCUAGUUGGUGAGGUAACGGCCCACCAAGGCGACGAUGCGUAGCCGACCUGAGAGGGUGAUCGGCCACAUUGGGACUGAGACACGGCCCAAACUCCUACGGGAGGCAGCAGUAGGGAAUCUUCCGCAAUGGGCGAAAGCCUGACGGAGCAACGCCGCGUGAGCGAAGAAGGCCUUCGGGUCGUAAAGCUCUGUUGUCAGGGAAGAACAAGUACCGGAGUAACUGCCGGUACCUUGACGGUACCUGACCAGAAAGCCCCGGCUAACUACGUGCCAGCAGCCGCGGUAAUACGUAGGGGGCGAGCGUUGUCCGGAAUCAUUGGGCGUAAAGCGCGCGCAGGCGGUCCCUUAAGUCUGAUGUGAAAUCUUGCGGCUCAACCGCAAGAGGUCAUUGGAAACUGGGGGACUUGAGUGCAGGAGAGGGAAGCGGAAUUCCAUGUGUAGCGGUGAAAUGCGUAGAGAUAUGGAGGAACACCAGUGGCGAAGGCGGCUUCCUGGCCUGUAACUGACGCUCAGGCGCGAAAGCGUGGGGGAGCAAACAGGAUUAGAUACCCUGCUAGUCCACGCCGUAAACGAUGAGUGCUAGUGUUGGAGGGGUUUACCCUUCAGUGCUGGAGCUAACGCAUUAAGCACUCCGCCUGGGGAGUACGGCCGCAAGGCUGAAACUCAAUGAAUUGACGG
rnacentral:rRNA from 1 species